GGACAUGUUUCCAUAAUUGGUUGGAGAUCAUUAUGUAGGAUUGUUGACAAAAGUUGUGGUUUGUGUCUUGCGAUCACUGGUAGCCCCUCCCAGUAGCCACUGAUGUAAGUGGGGUCAUCAAAUUUUUCGUCCCAUGGUGGUGCCAACUUUUUUGUUUGUGGCUCUUGAUUGUUGAUAGAAAACACCUAAUUGUCACACAGAUUUCUUUAAAAGUGAGAACUUCACAUAUCAAUCUGCUUUCUUUAGUUGUUGUCCAAGUAAGUUUGGGGGCUGUAGCUUACCCCAGCUGAGAUUAUGUGAAAAGCUGGGUACACUUUGGACAGGAAAGAGGAAACCAUGAAAAUAUUCAAUUACACCUUGGACGGGUAUAUUGGAUAAGCAGUCACCAGGCUAACACACAGAACAAGACAAGCCCUCACAUUCAAAAUCACACCUUUGGGCAAUUUCGAUUCACCACUAACUGCAUGUCUCUGGACUGUGGAAGGAAGGUGGAGGACCCGGAGAAAAGGUUGCAGCCAAGACCUUCUUACUGUCAGGCAACACUCAAAGGUCCAUUAUGAGUUUAAAUACAGGCUUGGAGAAUGGCUACUCCUGCACCCCUCUGCAAGUUUAUGAAUUCUCCAUGAGGACACAUCGACCACCUUCUACUUGUAGUCCAGACACUGACUCCGAGCUUCAGCUGAUCAAAGAGCCAAUUAAUGCUGGCAGCGGUAUGCGCACAGUGUUGCAGUGCAAAUCAAUGGCAUACUAAACUGCACAGGCACAAAGACUUGGUGAACUAGACAAGACAAACAGUGUCAGGUACUGCUGGAGUCACUCCGAAUUACCUUCUGUUGGUAUUUACAUGGUCUCUUUUAUUUUAUUUUAUUUUAUUAUCAUUUUAUUUAAAAUGAAGGUUUUUGGAUUACUGGACCCAUACAAGUACUUUUCAUGUCCUGGUGACCAUUGAAAUUAUAGUUUAUUCUGAUGAUACUUCAACAUAAUUGCAAGAUGAAUCCGCAGUGAUGUUUCAAAAUCACUGUCAAGAAGCCAGAGUUGCUUCUAGAAAGAGUUUUUCUUUGUCAGGCUGUCCACUGUGACUGUCUUGUGUUGACGAAGGCAAACACUAA
rnacentral:lncRNA from 1 species